AUUGAACGCUGGCGGCAUGCCUAACACAUGCAAGUCGAACGAGUGGCGGACGGGUGAGUAAUUGAUUGACACGUGCCCAAUGGAGGGGGCUGACUACGAGAAACAGUGGCUAAUACCGCAUACCAUCGGAUCGGCCGAGAUGGGAUUAGCUAGUUGGGGGGGUAACGGCUCACCAAGGCGACGAUCCCUAGCUGGUCUGAGAGGAUGACCAGCCACACUGGGACUGAGACACGGCCCAGACUCCUACGGGAGGCAGCAGUGGGGAAUAUUGGACAAUGGGCGAAAGUCUGAUGCAGCCAUGCCGCGUGUAUGAAGAAGGCUUUCGGGUCGUAAAGUACUUUCGGCGGGGAGGCGGUAUCUGCAGAAGAAGCCCCGGCUAACUACGUGCCAGCAGCCGCGGUAAUUC
rnacentral:rRNA from 1 species